rnacentral:rRNA from 1 species
UACGAAGGGUGCAAGCGUUAUUCGGAAUUACUGGGCGUAAAGCGCUCGUAGGCGGUUUGUUAAGUCUGUUGUGAAAGCCCCGGGCUCAACCUGGGACUGGCAAUGGAUACUGGCAAGCUAGAGUGCGGUAGAGGGUAGUGGAAUUCCCGGUGUAGCGGUGAAAUGCGUAGAGAUCGGGAGGAACACCAGUGGCGAAGGCGGCUACCUGGACCAACACUGACACUGAGGCACGAAAGCGUGGGGAGCAAACAGG